rnacentral:rRNA from 1 species
CAGCAGCCGCGGUAAUACGAAGGGUGCAAGCGUUAAUCGGAAUUACUGGGCGUAAAGCGUGCGUAGGCGGUUUGUUAAGUCUGCUGUGAAAUCCCCGGGCUCAACCUGGGAAUGGCAAUGGAUACUGGCAAGCUAGAGUGUGUCAGAGGAUGGUGGAAUUCCCGGUGUAGCGGUGAAAUGCGUAGAGAUCGGGAGGAACAUCAGUGGCGAAGGCGGCCAUCUGGGACAACACUGACGCUGAGGCACGAAAGCGUGGGGAGCAAACAGGAUUAGAUACCGGCGUAGUCCCUGUCUCUUAUAC